CUCCCCCCUUGGAAGGACCCCCCCUGCUCCUUUCCUCUGCCUCCCCUGCAGGAGUUUGAGAUCCUCACCCGGCUGCGCCUCCUGCAGGCCAAAUGCCGCAACUACACCUUGGCCCCCGACCGGGCCCUCCAGCGAUGGCUGCGGUGCCUGCCCCUCCUCAGCGAGGCCCAGAGUUAUCAGCUGUCCUGCACCAUUGAGGCCCCCAGCGAGGGAGGGGCUCCACCCAAGCCCAGCAAACCCACCUUGGUGAUCACGCGCUGCACAGACUUGAUCACCUCGCUGGGAGUGAGUGCCCCCCUGCCCUGGGACAGAACUGGCUCCCCCCAAGUCUCGCCCAAUCGAUUGGGCCCAUCGUCUCCCUCCCCCACCGCCCUGGGGGGCUCCCCCCAAUCAGUCCAGGUGAGUCAGGACUGCUCCUCCUUCCUCUGGACUCUCCCAUUCUUCUGGGGAGGGAGGCUGACCCCCGAAGUGAAAAGACCUCAGAGUCAAGGGUGGCUGAGCCAACUGGCUCCCCCAAAUUUCUAGUCCUUAGCAUUAUUUCAAAGCCAAGGCACGAAGAGGGCGAGGUUCUUCCUCUGAUGGGGUCCUCUUGGGCUCUACCAAACUUGUUCUCCAAGAUCUGAUGGGCUCCAAAGGAUCCCUUCCCCGUGUUUCGUGGCCCUC
rnacentral:lncRNA from 1 species